rnacentral:rRNA from 1 species
UACGUAGGCAGCGAGCGUUGUUCGGAGUUACUGGGCGUAAAGGGUGCGUAGGCGGUUGUUUAAGUUUGGUGUGAAAUCUCCCGGCUCAACUGGGAGGGUGCGCCGAAUACUGAAUGACUAGAGUGCGGGAGAGGAUAGUGGAAUUCCUGGUGUAGCGGUGAAAUGCGUAGAUAUCGGGAGGAACACCGGUGGCGAAGGCGGCGAUCUGGGUCGAUACUGACGCUGAGGUGCGAAAGCGUGGGGAGCAAACAGG